GGUUGGCCUAUUUACAGGGGAAAUGCUGCCGAAUUUUCUGUAGAAUUUAAUGUUAGUUUGGAAUGAAUGGCUUAAGUGUCUAUGUUUAAUAUUGAAUAUUCGUUGGCAUAUUUGUAGACCUUGGGGAGCCCGAGGCGUAGAUUGGGAUUUACUUUAGAUUGGCUAUCUUGGAGUGCGUACGAGGUACAGACGCACAGUUUGGUGAUCUACCCAUUUAGGACACCCUCUUCUGCUGUUUGGAGUGCUCUUCUCAUUUCAGAGCACACAUUUUGGUAUAUAUUCGUUCGCUAUGUAUAUAUGUAUUUGUUCAGGGGCACGGCGGGGCCCUGUCCCGCCAUAUGAUUCGGUUUGUCUGUUUAGAGGUCUGUAGACGUAUUUGUGGGUGUGUGUGCCUACUUCUGUAUGGAUGUGUUUGCAUGACUCUAUUCGUUAUGGCAGCCUCGUCGGCGUGCAUUUUGUAUAUGUUUGUGGCAGCCUUGUCGGCGUGCAA